CCGCCCGCCCACGCGCAGAAAUGACGUGAUUUCUCACGCCCCUUCCGGCAGCGGGGUGGGCAGGCUGCUGGGCGUUAGUCCUUGGGCCUGGCGGUCGGCUUCCCGCGGGUUCCUGAAGGCUGGUCGCAGGUCUUGGAACCGGCACAGAGUGGAUAUCUCCUGAAAGCCUUCCAAGUGCUUAGCCAAGUACUGUAACAAAACAAAGGAGGACUGCAAGCAAUUCAGGAUGAUAUCUGAGCCAUUGUACUCCAGGGUGAGACCACUACAGCCCAAGACACAGCUAAAGACCACCGCCUGGGGCACAGCUUAAGACCACCACUCAGGACAAGAACACUGAAGUUGUUUUUUUAAUCCAACUAACGUUUCCCUGAAUUCCAAACCUACACUUUGUUCUCCUUAUAAAAACGACCAUUUUAAAAUGUAAUUUAAGACGGUCUAUUAGGGUACAAACCCGCCAUCUUCUCAGAUCGGCAACCAUCUAAAUAAAGUUCUCAUAAAGAUUCAA